CUGGAGACGGUAGUACGCAUGCGCCACAACAGAGACAGCAGUACGCAUGCGCGAGCUUCGUGACGGUAUUACGCAUGCGUGACAUUAUGGACGGCAGUACGCAUGCGCGAGCCGGGAUACGGCAGUACACAUGUGCGACAUUAUGGAAGGCACUACGCAUGCGCGGGACGCGAGCCGGUUGUACGCAUGCGCGAGCUUCGAGACGGCAAUACGCACGCGCGACAUGAUAGACAACAGUACGCAUGCGCGAGACGCGAGACGGUAGUGCGCAUGCGCGAGGUUCUAGACGGCAGUACGCAUGCGCGAGAUCAUGGACGGUAGUACGCAUGCGCGACAUUAUAGACGGCAGUACGCAUGCGCGAGCCGCGAGACGGCAGUACGCAUGCGCGAGCUUCGUGACGGCAGUACGCAUGCGCGGCCACCGAGAUGGCAGUACGCAUGCGCGACGUUGUAGACGGCAGUACGCAUGCGCGAGUUCCGAGACGGCACUACGCAUGCGCGAAAUCAUGGACGGUCGUACGCAUGCGCAAGCUCUGAGACGUUAGUACGCAUGCGCGAGCUUCGGCACGGCAGUACGCAUGCGCGACAUCAUGGACGGCAGUACGCAUGCGCGAGCCGCGAGACGGCAGUACGCAUGCGCGAAAUCAUAGCAGUACGCAUGCGCGAGGUGUGAAGCGGCAGUACGCAUGCGCAGCAUUAUAGACAGCAGUACGCAUGCGCGACAUCACAGACAGCAGUAGGCAUGCCCUAGACGCGAGCCGGUAGUACGCAUGCGCGGCAUCAUAGACAGCAGUACGCAUGCGCCAGACACGAGACAGUAGUACGCAUUCGCGAGUUCCGAGCUGGCAGUACGCAUGCGCGACAUUACGGACAGCAGUAUGCAUGCGCUAGCUUCUAGACGGCAGUACGCAUGCGCGCCGUCAUAGACGGUGGCAGCAGAUACCGUGGAAACAACUCCUCCGCCGCCUUUUAGCGGACUGCCUGGGACCGUGGGCGCGCGCAUCCCCUUCUCUCUUUCUUUUCUUGGCAGAGGAUGGUGGGGGGAAGAAGGGGAGACGACAAAGAAAAGCAAGGAAAACUUCGACAAACCCCCCAACCCCGUGCUAAAUGCUUUGGUAUACCUGUAAAUAAAUGAAUACAUAACCAGCAA
ensembl:lncRNA